CUAAGUCCCCAAAAACCCAUCCCACAUACGCGAGGUGUUGUUACGGCGGUAGCGAAUGAAUUCCGAUGAAGCUCCGCCAAUUCCGUCGCGCACCGCUUUCCUUUUCACUCUCAAACCCUCUCCUUCCAAGAAACUUCUGCACCUCCAAAUUAAACGACGAAAACGACACUCGUUUCGUAUCACUCAUUUCCGACAUUGUUCGAGGAAAUCAAAGUUGGAAUGUGGCAUUCAACGACCCUUCAAUUUCAUCCACAUUGAAACCCCAUCACGUUGAACGAGUCUUAAUCAACACCUUACAUGAUUCCAAGUUAGCUUUAAGGUUCUUUAACUUUCUCGGUUUACACAAAAACAUGAACCAUUCCACAACCUCUUUUGCCAUCUUGGUUCAUGCCCUUGUUCAAAAUAAGCUUUUUUGGCCUGCGAAUUCUCUAUUGCAAACCCUUCUCCUUCGUGGGUCUAACCCAAAAUUUGUUUUUGACAAGUUUCUAGAAUCUCAUAAACAGUGUAAGUUUUCUUCCACUUUGGGUUUUGAUUUUUUGGUUCAGAGUUACUUGCAGAACACGAGAGUUUUUGAUGCUGUGUUUGUUUUAAAACUCAUGCUUGCUAAUACUUUGUUGCCUGAGGUUAGAACAUUGAGUACACUCUUGAAUGGGUUAUUGAGAAUUAGAAAAUUUAUAUCGGUAUGGGAACUUUUUGAUGAGUCUGUGAAUGCUGGUGUUAAACCUGAUCCUUAUACUUGCUCUGCCGUAAUUCGGAGCUUGUGUGAAUUGAAAGAUUUUUUUAGAGCUAAGGAAAAGAUUCUGUGGAUGGAAUCUAAUAGGUUUGACCUGAGUAUUGUUACUUACAAUGUCUUAAUUCAUGGUUUGUGUAAGGGUCAUCGGGUUUUGGAAGCUGUCGAGGUUAGAAAAUCAUUGAGGGAAAAGGGUUUGAAGGAAGAUGUGGUUACAUGUUGUACACUAGUGCUUGGAUUUUGUAGGGUUCAACGAUUUGAUGAUGGAAUUUGCCUCAUGAAUGAAAUGAUUGAAUUAGGGUUUACUCCAUCCGAGGCUGCUAUAUCGGGGUUAGUGGAUGGGUUGAGAAAGAAGGGAAAGAUUGAUAGUGCUUAUGAUUUGGUUGUUAAGUUAGCAAGAUUAGGUUUUUUGCCAAGUUUGUUUGUGUAUAAUUCGUUAUUAAACUCUUUGUGCAAAGGUGGAGAUUUGAAUAAAGCAGAGUUGCUUUAUAAUAAUAUGCGUUUGAUGAACUUGCCGCCGAAUGAUGUCACAUACUCUAUUCUGAUUGAUUCCUUUUGCAAAAGGGGGAGAUUAGAUGUUGCAGCGUCUUACUUUGAUAGAAUGAUAGAAGACGGUAUAAGAGAAUCUGUAUAUCCCUACAACUCUUUGAUACACGGUCAAUGCAAGUUUGGGGAUUUGAGCGCUGCUGAGUCUCUGUAUACCGAGAUGAUCAAUAAAGGGGUAGAACCAACUGCUACUACCUUUGCAACAUUAAUUAGUGGAUAUUGCAAAGAUCUACAAGUACAAAAAGCAUUUAAGCUAUAUAGUGAGAUGAAUGAGAAAAAAAUUCCUCCAACUGUUUAUACUUUCACCGCACUUAUUUAUGGUCUUUGCAGCACAAAUGAGAUGGCUGAAGCAUCCAAACUUUUCGAUGAAAUGGUGGAAAGGAAAAUCAAACCAACUGAGGUGACAUAUAAUGUUAUGAUAGAAGGGUAUUGUAAGGCUCGUAACAUUGAUAAAGCCUUUGAAUUGCUGGAAGACAUGGUCCGUAAGGGCCUUGUUCCGGAUACUUAUACAUACAGACCUCUUAUCACCGGCCUUUGUUCUACUGGUAGGGUUUCUGAAGCUAAAGAUUUUAUCGAUGAUCUCCAUAAGAAAAACUUCAAGUUAAAUGAGAUGUGCUAUAGCGCGCUUCUACAUGGUUAUUGCGGGGAAGGAAGACUAACGGAGGCACUGAGUGCUUCUUGUGAGAUGAUUCAACGAGGAAUCAACAUGGACCUGGUUUGCCAUGGCGUACUUAUUGAUGGUGCUCUGAAGCAGCCGGACAUGAAAAUGCUAUUUAGUCUCUUAAAAAAGAUGUACAGUCAAGGAUUGAGACCCGAUAGUGUAAUAUAUACAAGUAUGAUCGACGCAUACAGCAAAGAAGGAUCUUUUAAGAAAGCCGCUGAAUGUUGGGAUUUAAUGGUUACUGAGAAAUGCAUUCCUAAUGUUGUGACUUAUUCGGCUUUCAUGCAUGGUUUAUGCAAAGCCGGUGAAACUGAUAGAGCAGGUCUUCUUUUUGAAAAAAUGCUGGCUGCAAAUAUCCAUCCUAAUUCAAUUUCAUAUGGUUGUUUUCUCGACCGUCUUACGGAGGAGGGAAAUAUGAAGGAAGCUACAGAGCUUCACCGUGCAAUGCUUAAAGGGCUUUUAGCAAACACUGCAACAUACAACAUUCUUAUUCGGGGCUUUUGCAAAUUGGGUAGAUUAAUUGAAGCCACCGAAAUUCUUUCUGAAAUGACUGAAAAUGGGAUUUGCCCUGAUUGUAUAACCUAUUCAACUUUAAUUUACGAGUAUUGCAGAAGCGGUGAUGUCGGAGCAGCAGUUAAAUUGUGGGAUACUAUGUUAAAAAAAGGCGUUGAGCCAGACUUGGUUGCAUUUAACUUGCUAAUAUAUGGUUGCUGUGUUAACGGAGAGCUCAACAAGGCAUUUGAAUUGCGUGAUGACAUGUUGAGGAGAGGGUUGAAGCCAAGACAAAAUUUACAAUUGCCAAAUGGGUAAAAUAGGAACCACAGUUGAAGUGUGGUGUAACAUGCUCAAAAGAAUGUCGAUAGCGUGAUUUGGAUGUGUGCGACUUUCUUAAUCGUGGCUGUCGUGUGACUGGGGAGGUUAACAAGGGACUUCAGUUGCAUAAUGGCAUGUUAAGAUCAGCGAAGCCAAGGUAGAAUCUCUUGUGGCUAAACUAUCUGAAAAUGAGGUUGAUGACUGAAGUUGAAGGUGGCUUCUGCAGCCUGGAAAUGCGGAAGUGUUUGUAUUUGCAAUCCGUACGAGAUUGUGUCAUAUCCAAACCAGACGAGUUCCGGAAAAGAGGUGAAUGAGAGCAAUACCAAAAGGAGAAUUGGAAAAGCAACGAUUCAAAUUGAAAUAGAAACAGAACAAUGAAUAUUACAGAGAGGAAACCAAAGUUCAAGCUGCGACACUUUACGGAUUUUUAUAAAACUGGAAAUUUCGAUUGAAACUUUUUGCAAGGCUUAACUUGUUUGUUGAAAAAUCUUCUGUUUAGUGUACUGCUAUAUUUUAAAUUUUCUUGUAACUUAUAGAUGGUAUAAAAAUUCAAUUGCUAAUCAGUAAUUCUUUUGUCAACAUUGGUGCUUGUGGAGUGCUGUGAAAGUAUAGACUCUUUGAGGCAAUUGAUACAAAUUUUGUUUAGUUGCUUGGAUGUGUAGACUGCAAUGUGGUGUUAUUAUGUAGUCAUAAUUUUCUUUAUUUUUUG